ACGUCAUCCCCACCUUCCUCCGGUUUGGCACCGGCAGUCUUCCCAGAGUCCCCGACAUUACUCGCUGGCAACUGGGAACGGGGGUUGCGCUCGUUGCGGGACUUAACCCAACAUCUCACGACACGAGCUGACGACAGCCAUGCAGCACCUGUGCACGGACUCCGAAGAGGGCCCCUGGUUUCUCAAGGGUUUCCCGUGCAUGUCAAGCCUAGGUAAGGUUCUUCGCGUUGCGUCGAAUUAAACCACAUGCUCCACCGCUUGUGCGGGCCCCCGUCAAUUCCUUUGAGUUUCAGCCUUGCGGCCGUACUCCCCAGGCGGGGUACUUAAUGCGUUAGCGCCGACACUCAGGGGGUCGCUCCCCCAAGCAUCUAGUACCCAUCGUUUACGGCGUGGACUACCA
rnacentral:misc_RNA from 1 species